rnacentral:tRNA from 1 species
GGGAAGGUAGCUCAGUGGUAGAGUGCUUGCCUUGAAUGCAUGAAGCCCUGGGUUCGAUUCCUCAGCACCA